ACAGUGGACGCGAGCAUCUGUGGCCAAGUUUUUAAGGGCGCACGGUGGAUGCCUUGGCACCAGGAACCGAUGAAGGACGUGGGAGGCCACGAUAGGCCCCGGGGAGUCGUCAACCAGGCUUUGAUCCGGGGGUGUCCGAAUGGGGAAACCCGGCAGUCGUCAUGGGCUGUCACCCGCUGCUGAACACAUAGGCAGUGUGGAGGGAACGCGGGGAAGUGAAACAUCUCAGUACCCGCAGGAAGAGAAAACAACCGUGAUUCCGGGAGUAGUGGCGAGCGAAACCGGAUGAGGCUAAACCGUUCACGUGUGAGACCCGGCAGGGGUUGCGUGUGCGGGGUUGUGGGAUCUCACUUCUGUUGUCUGCCGGCAACAGGGCGAGUCAGAAACCGUUGAUGUAGGCGAAGGACAUGCGAAAGGUCCGGCGUAGAGGGUAAGACCCCCGUAGUCGAAAUGUCAGCGGCUUGCUUGUGAGACACCCAAGUAGCACGGGGCCCGAGAAAUCCCGUGUGAAUCUGGCGGGACCACCCGCUAAGCCUAAAUAUUCCCUGGUGACCGAUAGCGGAUAGUACCGUGAGGGAAUGGUGAAAAGUACCGCGGGAGCGGAGUGAAAUAGUACCUGAAACCGUGUGCCUACAAGCCGUGGGAGCGUCGG
rnacentral:rRNA from 1 species